AUGGAGUCACACACCCAGGUCCUCAUGUCUCUUCUGCUCUGGGUGUCUGGUGCCUGUGCAGAUAUCGUGAUGACACAGACUCCAUCCUUCCUGGCUGUGUCAGCAGGAGAAAGGGCCACCAUUAGCUGCAAGUCCAGUCAGAGUCUUUUAUCCAGUGCAAAUCAGAAGAACUACUUGAACUGGUACCAGCAGAAAGCAGGGCAGUCUCCUAAACUGCUGAUCUACUUAGCAUCCACUCGGUACACUGGGGUCCCUGAUCGCUUCACAGGCAGUGGAUCUGGGACAGACUUCACUCUCACCAUCAGCAACAUCCAGGCUGAAGACAUGGGAGAUUACUACUGUUUGCAGGAUUAUAGUGCUCCUCCCACAGUGCUUCAGCCUCCAACAAAAACCUCCUCUGAGAGUCUCACCAGCUGCUUGCACCACUCACAGCCCUGGACCUGCAACUUCCCUCUUCUGCCCAAGAGCCUGAAAACUCAUGAAACUCCUCAUGAAAAUGUUUUCAGAGUCCAGCAAAAAUAA